GGCCUCGUGGCCCAAUGGCAAGGCGUCUGACUACGAUGAGAUUGAUAUCAUGUUGUUCUCGUUGGUAUCAGGAGAUUCCAGGUUCGACCCCUGGCGUGGUCA